rnacentral:tRNA from 1 species
GAGCGAGGUCGCGUAACGGGCGCGCGAACGCACCUGCGGGGUGAGUCGCUCGACGGUUUCGAUGUUGUGCCCGAUAAUAUCGGGCUUCGCCGCC